UGGGGAAUUUUGCGCAAUGGGGGAAACCCUGACGCAGCAACGCCGCGUGCGGGACGACGGCCCUCGGGUUGUAAACCGCUUUCAGUGGGGACGAUGGUGACGGUACCCACAGAAGAAGCUCCGGCUAACUACGUGCCAGCAGCCGCGGUAAUACGUAGGGAGCGAGCGUUAUCCGGAUUCAUUGGGCGUAAAGCGCGCGUAGGCGGCUGCCUAAGCGGAACCUCUAAUCCCGGGGCUCAACCUCGGGCCGGGUUCCGAACUGGGCGGCUCGAGUGCGGUAGAG
rnacentral:rRNA from 1 species